rfam:Triticum aestivum genome assembly, contig: Triticum_aestivum_CS42_TGACv1_scaffold_129678_2BL
GUAAUACUCCCUCCGUCCCAAAAUUCUUGUCUUAGAUUUGUCUAGAUACAGAUGUAUCUAAUACUAUUGAUACAUCCGUAUCUAGACAAAUCUAAGACAAGAAUUUUGGGACGGAGGGAGUAAAAG